CCAAUAGCGUAUAUUAAAGUUGUUGCAGUUAAAAAGCUCGUAGUUGAAUUUCGGGAUCAGUUGAUCGGUCGUGCCUCGGUACGUACUGGUCAAAUUGAUUCCUACCUUCUGACGAACCACGAUGUCAUUAAUUUGGUGUCGUGGGAAAUCAGGACUGUUACUUUGAAAAAAUUAGAGUGUUUAAAGCAGGCUCGCGCUUG
rnacentral:rRNA from 1 species